ensembl:lncRNA
GUUGUGACUGCUGGAAUAAGAGGAGGCUGGGGGCUGCGGACGGUGGGCCAGGAAUGGAGAGGCCAAAUACAUCCAUGGCAAUCAGUAAGCCGGUUGGCAGUGGCCUAGAUGUUAUGACCUCAGCUCAUGGCAUGAGGGAAGGUUGCUGUCCAGACCCAUGGCCUCUCUUUCCAGCUGUGCCACUACAUUGGAGGACUGCAUGAGGGAAUCACUCGUCUGAGAACGGAACAGCUGCUCCACGUUCUGCAGGAGAGUGAACACCUCAUCGGAUGGACGCUAUAAUGCUCCCCUUUUAAAUUAUUUUAAUUCAAGUAAUACAGCUCUCUCACUUGCGGUGUUGGUGACUUUUUCCACCAGUGCACACUUGCAUUCCUCACAGAGUGAGAAGCCGAUAACCCUCUUCACUAUGUAUCCUGCCAGGUGGUAGAGGACACAGGACUCGGUCUUUGUCAUGUUGGGUGGUGAUGGGUCUACCAGCUGCUUCACUCUCACAACCUCAGAAGCACUGCAGCUGCUGUUCUGGGUGUCCAGGAAGUCCGCCAAGUGGUCUGAUGCAUCAUCCAGAUCUUGCUGGACCUCCAGAAUUGUUGUUGUGGCCAUCACCAGUCCAGUCUGGACUGGUUUCCAGCUGCCCUGGGGACCGAUCUUCAGGCCCGGAAAAAGAUGGAUCGAGUUGCGGAGGAAGCUGAUGGCCUUUUCAUACUCUUCCAUCUUGAAAUGACUGAGGGCACAAACAACAUUGCGGGAUGACAUGAGGUCAAACCAGUGGUCCAUCUUCUCCAAAAACCAUGACGUUGUAAGGCUCCAGGACACCUCUGGACAGAUUGGGUGCCAGCUUAAGUGCCAUGCCCUCCUGGAAGGACACCAGAUCCUUUUAAGGGGGCAGCAGAGACUUCACUCGAUGCCAGCUGCUCCUUUUCCACCACAUCCUGUGGUAUGGUGAUGAUGUGACCACGGACAAUGGCACUCUUCAAGUUCUUGACGAGAUGAGGAACGUCAGGCAUGAAAUGGAGGCGCUGGCUUGGCUCAACAGGAUGCUGGAUCCAUGGCUUGUCGUAGGUCACCCCAAAGGACUUCCACAUUGCUCUAUUGGGGCUCCCCAUGUUUGUGGUGAUGUUCAGUACAUGAAGCCCUACAGAUGCCGCUGCUUCAACAAUGUUGAUUAUGAUGGGCCGGUAAACUGCUCCAUUGGUGGAAUUGCCACUAUAGUGGUAAGCCACAACUUGUUUCCACCGUGUUGUAGCUCCAGCCAGCAUAAACACCAGUGCAUGUGUCGCUUGACCUUUGUGCUCAGGCAGUGUGACAUUUCCAAAUAGCCUCCCCGUUCCCAAAUGGAGCUCCACGCCUGGAGUAAUGGACAUCUCAUCUAAGUUGCCUUAUUAGGUCCUCCACAGUCGCCCCAUCAGUCCCUGGCAGUCUGGUCCCUGGAGCAGCAGUCCCUGGAGAAGCUGUCCCUGGAGCAGCUGGCCCUGGCAAAGUUAUUACUUCACUGUUGACCCCUGACUGACUGGCCCUCGGCACACACAUCCCUGGAUCUCCUGCCACUGAAUCACCUGCCACUGGCAAUGUGGCCUCUUGAUUUCUCUCUCUGUCUCCUGUCAUGUCCCUUUCAACGCUCUUGAAAUCCACCUCAAUUUCUCCCUCAAUCUCUGUAAAAAUUACAGGUAAUGUUGC